UCCUGUUACAGCAAGGUCAAAUUGCGGGACCUGCCUUCGGCACGCAGGGAAGAUGCUGUAGUGGCGAGCCGGGGGUAACCGGGCCUGCGGCUUCCCGUCCUUACAUCCCGUGUGUUGACAGCCGAUCGCCGGCUAUGGCACCUUCUUCAGUCUGAAAGUCUGGCUCCUCGAAGACUCAUCAUCUUAACCUUGACUGCAGGCUCCACCCGCAAAGUGACGCUCAGCCAAGAUGUUCAGCACCAAAAGGGUCUCGCUCUGGAGCUUUCCUCAGCAUCGCCCACCUGGCCUCCGAUCUCCGAAGGGAGCCUCUCCACAUAGAUACGCUUCAGCUUUGCACCUCAGUCGACAGGAAGUAUCAAAUAAGGCUGAAGAAGAAAUCUCAGUCAGUGGACAUUACCGCUCAAGGAUAUCCCGCCCCUUUGGUGACGGGAGCAUCGCAGAUAAACAAGGGCGCUCCACCUGUUGCCAAGACAACCGCGUUCGAGUUGCAAGGAAGCAACGUGGCCAAUUCCCAGCGCCACAGCCUCCGGGGCACUGAGCUGAAGCGGUAUCACACCG